rnacentral:tRNA from 1 species
GAAAGCAUAGAUCAAGUGGUAGAGCCCAUGCUUGGCAUGCAUGAGGUCCUGGGUUCAAUCUCCAGUACCUCCU